rnacentral:rRNA from 1 species
UACGGAGGAUGCAAGCGUUAUCCGGAAUGAUUGGGCGUAAAGGGUCCGCAGGUGGCAUUGUAAGUCUGCUGUUAAAGAGUGAGGCUCAACCUCAUAAGAGCAGUGGAAACUACAUAGCUAGAGUACGUUCGGGGCAGAGGGAAUUCCUGGUGUAGCGGUGAAAUGCGUAGAUAUCAGGAAGAACACCGGUGGCGAAGGCGCUCUGCUAGGCCAAAACUGACACUGAGGGACGAAAGCUAGGGGAGCGAAUGGG